UUACAGGUGGGGCAACCAGGAGAUAGGUGGGCUAAAUGAGGUGAGGGGAUCCAAACAAAGGCCACCCCAGGCACACGUGCAAGACAAACACACUUCACACCGCACUUCAGUCCCACAGCACAGGCAAACGUGAU